UGAGGAAUAUUGGACAAUGGGCGCAAGCCUGAUCCAGCAAUGCCGCGUGCAGGACGAAGGCCUUCGGGUUGUAAACUGCUUUUGUACGGAGCGAAAAGGUCUGCCCUAAUACGGUGGGCUCAUGACGGUACCGUAAGAAUAAGCACCGGCUAACUACGUGCCAGCAGCCGCGGUAAUACGUAGGGUGCGAGCGUUAAUCGGAAUUACUGGGCGUAAAGCGUGCGCAGGCGGUUAUAUAAGACAGAUGUGAAAUCCCCGGGCUCAACCUGGGACCUGCAUUUGUGACUGUAUAGCUAGAGUACGGUAGAGGGGGAUGGAAUUCCGCGUGUAGCUGUGAAAUGCGUAGAUAUGCGGAGGAACACCGAUGGCGAAGGCAAUCCCCUGGGCCUGCACUGACGCUCAUGCACGAAAGCGUGGGGAGCAAACA
rnacentral:rRNA from 1 species